rnacentral:rRNA from 1 species
UACGGAGGGUGCGAGCGUUGUCCGGAAUCACUGGGCGUAAAGGGCGCGUAGGCGGCGCGGGUAGUCAUCGGUGAAAGUUCAGGGCUCAACUCUGAAUCGGCCGGUGAUACUCCCGUGCUCGAGCACUGUAGAGGCAGGUGGAAUUCCGGGUGUAGCGGUGGAAUGCGUAGAUAUCAGGGAGGAACACCGGUGGCGAAGGCGGCUACCUGGACAGAAACUGACGCUGAGGCACGAAAGCUAGGGGAGCAAACAGG